CCUACGGGUGGCAGCAGUGAGGAAUAUUGGUCAAUGGUCGGGAGACUGAACCAGCCAAGCCGCGUGAGGGAAGAAGGUACAGCGUAUCGUAAACCUCUUUUGUCAGGGAACAAAGGCGGGGACUCGUCCCCGGAUGAGUGUACCUGAAGAAAAAGCAUCGGCUAACUCCGUUCCAGCAGCCGCGGUACUACGGAGGAUGCGCGCGUUAUCCGGAUUUAUUGGGUUUAAAGGGUGCGCAGGCGGUCUGUUAAGUCGGCGGUAAAAGCCCGGGGCUCAACCCCGGCCCGCCGUUGAAACUGGCAGUCUCGAGUUGGAGAGAGGUAUGCGGAAUGCGCGGUGUAGCGGUGAAAUGCAUAGAUAUCGCGCAGAACUCCGAGUGCGAAGGCAGCAUGCCGGCUCCACACUGACGCUGAGGCACGAAAGCGUGGGUAUCGAACAGGAUUAGAUACCCGUGUAGUC
rnacentral:rRNA from 1 species